rnacentral:rRNA from 1 species
UACAGAGGUCUCAAGCGUUGUUCGGAUUCAUUGGGCGUAAAGGGUGCGUAGGCGGGCGCGGUAAGUCGGAUGUGAAAUCUCGGGGCUUAACUCCGAAACUGCAUUCGAUACUACCGUGCUUGAGGACUGGAGAGGAGACUGGAAUUUACGGUGUAGCGGUGAAAUGCGUAGAUAUCGUAAGGAAGACCAGUGGCGAAGGCGGGUCUCUGGACAGUUCCUGACGCUGAGGCACGAAGGCCAGGGGAGCAAACGGG